rnacentral:lncRNA from 1 species
CAAAGAGUUAUUAAAGAAUAUCGCUUUCCAGAAAAUUAAGGUGUACACUAUGAGGUAACCAAGUUACCGAAAAUUCUACAUCUUGGGAAGAGAAACGAUUUAUUUCUUACAAACUUCAGCACCCAAAAACUUCAGCACCAGCUUGUACACUAUCAAAGAACAAUUAUUCAGCUCAAAUACAUAUACAUAUAAGUAAAACCUGACCAAUUAUAUCUCAUUCUUGCCCAAGCUUACAGAGAAGAAUCAACAAACAUGGAUGCAGAACAUGAUGGAACGUGUACUCGUUAAUUUGUUCAUACAUGAUACACUAUAACAAAUAGUUGAUAAAAAAACACAAGAAAAAAGAAAGAAGAGUAAAAUAGUUACCCAAAGAGUGCCCCACAAAGUUUUUCAAAUUUCUUGCACUGUCAG